rnacentral:lncRNA from 1 species
GGAACUGUGAGAUAUAAACAAUAGUGAAUAGAUUUUAAAGUGUUAUAUCUUUCUCCUCAGGUUGAUCCUCCAGAAUAUGCCUUUUCAAACUGUUCUCUAAAACCAUGAAGAAUAUAAACGCAUAUUUACAGGCAAAAUAAAAUAGUGUAAAGAUUCCUCAGAUUCCUGGUCUACAUGGCCACAUAUAACACAUACUGGUAGAAAGACAACUGGAAGAUGAAGUCACUCAUAUUUGAUAACCUGGACUAAUGGUCAGAGUACUUAUUCUGGAACAUGUUCAGAUUCUGGGACCUCUGUGAUGAGACACACAUCUCUUUGAAGCAGCCUAAAGGAAAGGCUGUGGGGAAGCUCCCACUCCUUUUGGAUUGAUCACAAGGGUGAAGAUUCACAUGACCAAAGCAGGAGUAAGAGGAAAUGUGAUUCUGUACCUUAUCCAGAGAGUCCACUCCACUGGAGACAUUUUUCAAACACUGAUGGAAGAAUACUUAACCAUUCAGAUGUGUUUGCACCCUGUGGCACCACGGCUAAAAGGACAACCACACACAGGUAUUGAUUAAAAAGGUGAACAUCUCUCACCAUUGUGACAAUCCAAGGAAACAAAAAUGCUUCACUGUGGAAGUUCAAUAAAAAUUCUGUUCAGCAUACA